UACGUAGGUGGCGAGCGUUGUCCGGAUUUAUUGGGCGUAAAGCGCGCGCAGGUGGUGCGGUAAGUCUGUCGUGAAAUCUCCCGGCUCAACUGGGAGGGUGCGGUGGAGACUGCCGGACUGGAGGCACUCAGAGGCCGGUGGAAUUCCCGGUGUAGUGGUGAAAUGCGUAGAGAUCGGGAGGAACACCAGUGGCGAAGGCGGCCUGCUGGGCAGUGGCUGACGCUGAGGCGCGACAGCGUGGGGAGCAAACAGG
rnacentral:rRNA from 1 species